CUCUGUGGCCAUAUCACACAAUGUGCCCAAUCUCGUCUGAUCUCAGAAGCUAAAUAGGAUCCCGCCUGUUUAGUGCUUGAAUGGGAGAUCACCUGGGAAUACCAAGUGCUGUAGGCU
rnacentral:rRNA from 1 species